AUUGAACGCUGGCGGCAUGCCUUACACAUGCAAGUCGAACGGUAACAGGUCUUCGGACGCUGACGAGUGGCGAACGGGUGAGUAAUACAUCGGAACGUGCCCAGUCGUGGGGGAUAACUACUCGAAAGAGUAGCUAAUACCGCAUACGAUCUGAGGAUGAAAGCGGGGGACCUUCGGGCCUCGCGCGAUUGGAGCGGCCGAUGGCAGAUUAGGUAGUUGGUGGGAUAAAAGCUUACCAAGCCGACGAUCUGUAGCUGGUCUGAGAGGAAGACCAGCCACACUGGGACUGAGACACGGGCCAGACUCCUACGGGAGGCAGCAGUGGGGAAUUUUGGACAAUGGGCGAAAGCCUGAUCCAGCAAUGCCGCGUGCAGGAUGAAGGCCUUCGGGUUGUAAACUGCUUUUGUACGGAACGAAAAAGCUUCUCCUAAUACGAGAGGCCCAUGACGGUACCGUAAGAAUAAGCACCGGCUAACUACGUGCCAGCCGCCGCGGUAAAAC
rnacentral:rRNA from 1 species